rnacentral:rRNA from 1 species
GAUGAACGCUGGCGGCGUGCCUAAUACAUGCAAGUCGAACGAAACUUCUUUAUCACCGAGUGCUUGCACUCACCGAUAAAGAGUUGAGUGGCGAACGGGUGAGUAACACGUGGGCAACCUGCCCAAAAGAGGGGGAUAACACUUGGAAACAGGUGCUAAUACCGCAUAACCAUAGUUACCGCAUGGUAACUAUGUAAAAGGUGGCUAUACUACCGCUUUUGGAUGGGCCCGCGGCGCAUUAGCUAGUUGGUAGGGUAAAGGCUUACCAAGGCAAUGAUGCGUAGCCGAAUUGAGAGGUUGAUCGGCCACAUUGGGACUGAGACACGGCCCAAACUCCUACGGGAGGCAGCAGUAGGGAAUCUUCCACAAUGGGCGAAAGCCUGAUGGAGCAACGCCGCGUGGGUGAAGAAGGUCUUCGGAUCGUAAAACCCUGUUGUUAGAGAAGAAAGUGCGUGAGAGUAACUGUUUACGUUUCGACGGUAUCUAACCAGAAAGCCACGGCUAACUACGUG